rnacentral:rRNA from 1 species
GAUGAACGCUGGCGGCGUGCCUAAUACAUGCAAGUCGAGCGAACAGACGAGGAGCUUGCUCCUUUGACGUUAGCGGCGGACGGGUGAGUAACACGUGGGUAACCUACCUAUAAGACUGGGAUAAAUUCGGGAAACCGGAGCUAAUACCGGAUAAUAUUUCGAACCGCAUGGUUCGAUAGUGAAAGAUGGCUUUGCUAUCACUUAUAGAUGGACCUGCGCCGUAUUAGCUAGUUGGUAAGGUAACGGCUUACCAAGGCAACGAUACGUAGCCGACCUGAGAGGGUGAUCGGCCACGCUGGAACUGAGACACGGUCCAGACUCCUACGGGAGGCAGCAGUAGGGAAUCUUCCGCAAUGGGCGAAAGCCUGACGGAGCAACGCCGCGUGAGUGAUGAAGGUCUUCGGAUCGUAAAACUCUGUUAUUAGGGAAGAACAAACGUGUAAGUAACUGUGCACGUCUUGACGGUACCUAAUCAGAAAGCCACGGCUAACUACGUG